rnacentral:rRNA from 1 species
ACUCCUACGGGAGGCAGCAGUGGGGAAUCUUGCGCAAUGCGCGAAAGCGUGACGCAGCAACGCCGCGUGGGGGAAGAAGGCCUUCGGGUUGUAAACCUCUUUCAGUUGGGACGAAGCCUCGUCGGUUAAUAGCCGGUUGAGGUGACGGUACCUUCAGAAGAAGCCCCGGCUAACUACGUGCCAGCAGCCGCGGUAAUACGUAGGGGGCAAGCGUUGUCCGGAAUCAUUGGGCGUAAAGAGCGUGUAGGCGGCCCGAUAAGUCCGCUGUGAAAGUCCAGGGCUCAACCCUGGAAUGCCGGUGGAUACUGUCUGGCUAGAGUCCGGGAGGGGCGAGUGGAAUUCCUGGUGUAGCGGUGAAAUGCGCAGAUAUCAGGAGGAACACCAAUGGCGAAGGCAGCUCACUGGGACGGUAUUGACGCUGAGACGCGAAAGCGUGGGGAGCAAACAGGAUUAGAUACCCUGGUAG